rnacentral:rRNA from 1 species
UGAGGAAUAUUGGUCAAUGGACGCAAGUCUGAACCAGCCAAGUAGCGUGCAGGAUGACGGCCCUAUGGGUUGUAAACUGCUUUUAUAUGGGGAUAAAGUGGGGAACGUGUUCCCUUUUGCAGGUACCUUAUGAAUAAGGACCGGCUAAUUCCGUGCCAGCAGCCGCGGUAAUACGGAAGGUUCGGGCGUUAUCCGGAUUUAUUGGGUUUAAAGGGAGCGUAGGCCGUUUGGUAAGCGUGUUGUGAAAUGUAGGAGCUCAACUUCUAGAUUGCAGCGCGAACUGUCAGACUUGAGUGCGCACAACGUAGGCGGAAUUCAUGGUGUAGCGGUGAAAUGCUUAGAUAUCAUGAAGAACUCCGAUUGCGAAGGCAGCUUACGGGAGCGCAACUGACGCUGAAGCUCGAAGGUGCGGGUAUCGAACAGG